GAAAGAGUAAAGCAGGGUAACUUGCGCCCAAGGAUCGGUCCGCGUCCUAUCAGCUAGUUGGUGAGGUAAAGGCUCACCAAGGCUAAGACGGGUAACUGGUCUGAGAGGACGACCAGUCACACUGGGACUGAGACACGGCCCAGACUCCUACGGGAGGCAGCAGUGGGGAAUAUUGGUCAAUGGGCGAAAGCCUGAACCAGCAAUGCCGCGUGGGUGAUGAAGGCCUUCGGGUUGUAAAGCCCUGUCAGUGGGAAAGAAAAAACCGGUUAAUACCCGGUCUUGACGGUACCCGCAAAGGAAGCACCGGCUAACUCUGUGCCAGCAGCCGCGGUAA
rnacentral:rRNA from 1 species